rnacentral:rRNA from 1 species
CACGUAGGGGGCGAGCGUUGUCCGGAUUUAUUGGGCGUAAAGAGCUCGUAGGCGGCUCAGUAAGUCAGGUGUGAAAACUCCAGGCUCAACCUGGAGACGCCACUUGAUACUGCUGUGGCUAGAGUCCGGUAGGGGAGCAUGGAAUUCCUGGUGUAGCGGUGAAAUGCGCAGAUAUCAGGAGGAACACCAGUGGCGAAGGCGGUGCUCUGGGCCGGAACUGACGCUGAGGAGCGAAAGCGUGGGGAGCAAACGGG